UCCUCUUUAGCUCAGUUGGUUAGAGCAUGUGACUUUUAAUCAUGUGGUCGCUGGUUCGAGUCCAGCAGGUGGAACCA
rnacentral:tRNA from 1 species